rnacentral:rRNA from 1 species
CAGCCGCCACGGUAACACGUAGGGUGCGAGCGUUAAUCGGAAUUACUGGGCGUAGAGCGUGCGCAGGCGGUUCGUUAAGACAGAUGUGAAAUCCCCGGGCUUAACCUGGGAACUGCAUUUGUGACUGGCGAGCUAGAGUAUGGCAGAGGGGGGUAGAAUUCCACGUGUAGCAGUGAAAUGCGUAGAGAUGUGGAGGAAUACCGAUGGCGAAGGCAGCCCCCUGGGCCAAUACUGACGCUCAUGCACGAAAGCGUGGGGAGCAAACAGGAUUAGAGACCCCUGUAGUCCCUGUCUCUUAUAC